rnacentral:rRNA from 1 species
UGGGGAAUAUUGCACAAUGGGCGCAAGCCUGAUGCAGCCAUGCCGCGUGUGUGAAGAAGGCCUUCGGGUUGUAAAGCACUUUCAGCGAGGAGGAAGGUGGGUGAACUUAAUACGUUCAUCAAUUGACGUUACUCGCAGAAGAAGCACCGGCUAACUCCGUGCCAGCAGCCGCGGUAAUACGGAGGGUGCAAGCGUUAAUCGGAAUUACUGGGCGUAAAGCGCACGCAGGCGGUUUGUUAAGUCAGAUGUGAAAUCCCCCGGGCUCAACCUGGGAACUGCAUUUGAAACUGGCAAGCUAGAGUCUCGUAGAGGGGGGUAGAAUUCCAGGUGUAGCGGUGAAAUGCGUAGAGAUCUGGAGGAAUACCGGUGGCGAAGGCGGCCCCCUGGACGAAGACUGACGCUCAGGUGCGAAAAGCGUGGGGAAGCAAACAGGAUUAGAUAACCCUGGUAGUCCACGCUGUAAACGAUGUCG